GCUGGGCAGGGUGGCACGUGCCUGUAGUCCCAGCUACUCGGGAGGCUGAGGUGGGAGGCUCUCUUGAGCCCAGGAGUUCUGGGCUGUAGUGCGUUAUGCCAAUCGGGUGUCCGCACUAAGGUCAGCAUCAAUAUGGUGACCUCCCGGGAGCGGGGGACCAUCAGGUUGCCUAAGGAGGGGUGAACUGGCCCAGGUCUGAAACGGAGCAGGUCAAAAUUCCCGUGCUGAUCAGUAGUGGGAUCGCGCCUGUGAAUAGCCACUGCACUCCAGCGUGGGCAACAUAGCGAGAUCCCAUCUCU
rnacentral:SRP_RNA from 1 species